rnacentral:lncRNA from 1 species
AUUUUGAUUAACUGGAGUUUUAGUACAUGCCCAAGAUGAAAGAAUCAAUACUCAGUAGUCAUCUAAGUUCUUUCCAAUGCUUUGUACAACAACAAAAACCAGCAGGACACAACCAAGAGCAAGAACAAACAUUUUACAAGAAUUAGUGACACCACUAUGUAUCAAUUGAAAAACUACAUAACCCAGAUUUCAUAAUGACAGAAUGUUACACCUCUCACUGAACACCAUGUUACUCAAGCUGUUGCCCACUGAAAUUAAUUGACUUUCAGCUCUUUUGAUUUCUUUAUGCUUGAUGUUGCCACCCUCACACCAGCUACAAAGAAUUAGAGCUGACAAGAAAACUUAAAAACAUCAAUCAGCAUGUCAAGCAAAGUAUGUUACAAGAACAGAGCGUCAGCAACACCUCUUGUUGUUUCUUGGUAUUAGUUGAAUAUCAUUAAUGAUAAAAAAUAUUUAUAUCAAAAAUCAACUCAUUAGUCAUCCACAGUAACAUGGGGAUGGAAACCAGGUGAUACCAAUUAGAUUAUGAUUCCAGGAUGACUAGUAAAAUGGCCAUAGUAUUAGUACGAGUGACAAGCAAUAGUUUGAGGUGAGAAUAAAAGGUAAAGGAUUCUCAAUGAUUAUGAAUGGCCAAUAAGUAUAAAGGAUAGAUGCUGCUAGAUGAAAAAACAUUCCUCAAAAAGGAAUUUCAAUUUUCACUUGUAUUUUAUAAUGUUGAAGUGCUUACAGGAGUCAAACUGUGAUCACUGGAUUUG